AUUGAACGCUGGCGGCAGGCUUAACACAUGCAAGUCGAGCGGAGAGAGGUAGCUUGCUACUGAUCUUAGCGGCGGACGGGUGAGUAAUGCUUAGGAAUCUGCCUAUUAGUGGGGGGCAACAUUUCGAAAGGAAUGCUAAUACCGCAUAUGUCCUACGGGAGAAAGCAGGGGAUCUUCGGACCUUGCGCUAAUAGAUGAGCCUAAGUCGGAUUAGCUAGUUGGUGGGGUAAAGGCCUACCAAGGCGACGAUCUGUAGCGGGUCUGAGAGGAUGAUCCGCCACACUGGGACUGAGACACGGCCCAGACUCCUACGGGAGGCAGCAGUGGGGAAUAUUGGACAAUGGGCGAAAGCCUGAUCCAGCCAUGCCGCGUGUGUGAAGAAGGUCUUCGGAUUGUAAAGCACUUUAAGUUGGGAGGAAGGGCAGUAAGUUAAUACCUUGCUGUUUUGACGUUACCAACAGAAUAAGCACCGGCUAACUUCGUGCCAGCCGCCGCAGUAAUAC
rnacentral:rRNA from 1 species